ACUUCCCAGUCUACAUGCUUCCUUUGAGCAUCCAGAAUAAAGGAACAUCCAGAAUAAAGGAACAGGGUCGGCUUUUCUUGUUCCUAAAAUUAGGAAGAACCUCCUGCUCCUACUGAAGUGCUUGCCACAGAGUGGACAUUCCCUGAACUCUGAGUAAAGCAAAACACCUUCAGUUGGAUUGCAUUGACGAAUGGGAGUGGGAAAGGGUCAAGGAAAUGGGGUGCCCUCUAUGCAGGGCUUUCUCUGUGCUUUCUUCUCAGUUUGGCCAGGGGCCCAAGAGAAACAUAGCUCACAUUUCAGUGCUCUGCAAGGAAUCACUUUGGCAAACGUUCACACAUGAGAAAGGUUAACCAAACCCUUUCUCCUUCUCCACUGUAAAAUGUCCUUGGAUCAGCUCUCCAGCUCUAUUUCUUUGGAAGUCGAUGUCCACAGGGUUGGGGUGGGGGGCAGGCUGUUGGCUGGGUACCAGGCAAUCCUGCUCACCAUGAAAGUGAUUCCUUGUUAGUAGAGGGAGUGUGGACCAGGUGACCCGGGAAUGGGCCAUCCCCCCACUGGAAGGAGGCUACUCUGGCAGCGCCGCUCUGUAAUGCUUUCUUAAGAUCAUGGCUAUGUCCAUCAAGAGUGCCUCCCUGGAGGGAGGGAGAGCCCAGACAACAUCUACUGGACCAGUUUCCGGAGGCUUCAAGGUCACCACACUUAUGUGCAGUCUUUGCCUCCCUCAGCUCAGCCCACUCCUCCUCUGCGGGGCUGCUGCAGUGAAGGGAGCCACAUUUCAAAGUCACCCAGGACAGAGGUGAGUUCCCUCCCGAUGUUGUCAUCAGUGACCACACCGCGGGGCACCUCCUUAGCUCUCCCGAAUCUGUCCUGUCCAUCACCACUGCUACUACUGGAGUGCAGGUGCUGAUUUCCUCUGAAUGUUAUCCCUGUCUCCAGGCUUAUACUCAUACAACCCAGCUGCCUCUUGCUGCCACCUGAUCUUCCCAAGAUACACCAACCUGCUUAGAAGCCUCUGGCCAGGAUUCCAGGAGGCACCCUCGAAUCCUGAGAAUGAGGCCCAGACACCCCAUCCCCACCCAGCCCCAGCUCCAGCCCCCCAUGCACCCCUCCUCCCGUGUGCUGACUCCCAUCCCAUUCCUUAAUUACAUGCCCCUCAGCUCCAGUGACUUCCCCCAAGAGGCAAGGAUGUUCCCAGUCAGCUUAGCAUCUCUCCGUCUAGGAAGCCUCUACAGAGCCUGCCGUGGUCUCCUUCUUGCUGACAUUGCUUCCGAAAGAAACCUUUUCCUACAGCCUCACUCUUAUGUGCUUUCAUCCCUCCACCCCACAGUCCCCUGGGGAGCAGAAUCCUGUUAUUUUUUAUCUUACACUCCUGGUGCCAGGCAUUGACCCUGACCCUCAGUACUAACGUCAUAAAUGUCUGUGAAGCUGGACUGAAUUAAAUCAAGCUCAUUGGAGCAGUUUGGGAACACUGCAUUGAGGAGGUGGUCCUUGGUCUGAGAACUCAGGGUUCCCAGGGUUUAGGGAGCUGGCACACAACACACUCCCUGCACAUGUCUGGAAUCAGUUCUGUGCUAGAGGAUGCAGGAGUCAAUGCCAUGGAACCAGACAUGGAGCUUCAUUGCCAGAAGCAGAGCUGGAGGAUGCUGCUAAGGGGCAUCACAGCCGAGCACCUCAGACUCACCCCAGAGUAGUCACUUGCCCAUCCAGCCAUGGCCUCUCCAGGACGGCUGCAGGUCUCCCUUACCGAACACAAAGAAGGUGUGGUGGAGGGACCCAGGGACUUCCUCUUCAUCUGAUUACCUGUUUCCACUGAAUUCCCAACCUGCCCAUACUUGAGCCCCAUGUCUGCCUUCUUCUCUUUACUGCCAUUGAGAUGGGGACCACCACCCUUUCCUCAAAUUCCCACGGACAUCACACGUCACUGUCCUGCAUGGUACUGAGUUUGGGGUUAGAGAUGUGGCAUUGCAGUGCAGCCCGGCCAACAAUGGGAAAUCAGUGAAACAGAUGAUAGCCCUCAGCCUAAACCUGGCCCGCCACCUGUUUUGUACAGCUAUGAGCUAAGAGGGGUGUUUACAUUUCCAAAUGGUUGAAGAAAUCAGAAGAAAAAUAACAUUUUAUCUUCACACAUGAAAACUGCAUGAAAUUCAGAGUUCAGUGCUCAUGAAGUUCCAGGGAUCAAAGCCUUGCACAUCACUUACAGUCUCAUCCAUAGUGGCCUUUGUCUAUGCAGCAAAGUUGAGAUAAGUAGCUGGGACAUCUACCAUAUAGUCUGCUGAGCACAGGUUUUCUGCUCUCUGGCCCUAAAAACUCCUGCUCCAGAACAUCCCAGGUCCUGCAUUUCCCAGCUGCUCUCCUUGCUUUCCCCAAGGCAGGCCCCAUCCGGCCACUGCAACCCCUGGCUCUCUUUCCCUCAAGUCCAGCCCCUUGUCCUCCAGCCUCCUCCACACCUCCAGGGUCCCCUGCUUGGUUCAGCAGAUUGACCUCGCCAUCCUUGCUUUCUGAGGUGGGGGCAGGGCAUCAUCUUUUCAGCCUGCGAAUAAAUCUGAGCAUAUCUAUGAAUAAAGUAAGGAAUUCUGCCAGCAGCUUGUCUCAUAGCACAUUUCUCCCCUGGACAUCAGGAAUGCAGAAAGCAGGGCCCAGGGUGAGACAUUCUCAGACCCUUGUAGCCAAGCACCUUUCUUCCUGCAAGCCACCAAAUAUUCCAUGGCCAUACCCAGCCAGUUUAUGAUUUACACUCACAAGUUAACAAAACAAAACAAAACAAAAACUCGUUUUUCUUUUUCUUUCUUUUUUUUUUUUUCUGAGACAGAGUCUCACUCUGUCGUCCAGGCUGGAGUGCAGUGUCUCAAUCUCGGCUCACUACAACCUCCACCUCAUGGCUCAAAUGAUUUUCCGGCUAAUUUUUGUAUUUUUAGUAGAGACAGGGUUUCACCAUGUUGGCCAGGUUGGUAUCGAACUCCUGACCUCAAGUGAUCUGCCCGCCUUGGCCUCCCAAAGUGCUAUAUUGCAGGCAUGAACCACCACACCCAGCCAAUAUUUUAUUUAUCUAAAAGCACUAUGGAAAAUUGAUGAUAUGUCUGUUGCAAGGAAGAUAAAUUGGGAGUGAAAUUCUGUAAAAAGCAAGCAAAGGGCUGUAGACACAUAAACAGAGAUGGCAACUCUGGGAAAGAAAAAACGCAGGCUGUAGAAAUCACCUAAAAUGCUCAGUGUCCACAAGUGAUACACAAGUUCAUUAAAAUGGCAAGAAAAAUCAAACCACAUGUGAUAAAAAGGCAGACAUGACAACCUAAGAAAGCAUCUGCUGUUUAACUCUGGAGAGCACUUUGCAUGGCCAAUUACUCUCAUCCUCCCUCAGCUCUCACCUCUGCUUCUCCACCUGCUAUUCCACACUGGCCAGGUACUGCCCAUAGUCUUCUUGGCAGGCCCCAGCCUGCCUCUCUGGAGCAGCUGGGCAUCCAGGACGAGGUCGUUGCUGUGGAAGGAGCCCUCUCACUCCCUCCCCAGCCUCUUGAUCGCAGCCACGAGCUCUGCCCGCUGCUGCCUCUGCUCCUCCACAGUGGCCCGGUUGUUGAAGCUGUAGUAUCUCCUCACACACUCCUGCACCAGGUCCUUCAGGCUAUGGUUGUCCAUGUUUGCUACAUAGUCAUCCAGGGCCUGGCCCCUAAGUCCUCUUUGUGGGUGAAGAGGAUGACCACAUGUCUCAUGGCCCCUGCCCCAAAAACCUCCUUCACCCUCCUGACGGCCACCAUGUCCUAAGCAGUGAAACGCCUCAGCUGGAUCACCAGAAGCAGCAUGUGGGGCCCCAGGGCAGAGAGCAGGUAGCAGUUCCCAAUGUUCUUGUACAGCUCUUGAGUCUGGACCUCUGACUCAAAGAUGGAGAGCGUGUCGACCACCAGGACUUUCCUCCUGUUCCAUGUUCCUGUCUCCACCUGGCACGUCCUGGUUACUGACUGGGCCCCCAGCUUGGACUCAAACACGAGCUGGCCGAGGAUGCUGUUCCUUGUGGCAAUUUUCCCUCAGCCUGUUUUGCCCACCAGGGGGAUCAGCAGCAGCAGUGAUCCUGGAGCCAACCUGCCUUGUCCUCAGCCUGUGAGAGUGGGUGAAGAGUGAGUAUGUAAAAACUGCAUUCUGAGGUGGAGGCACCAAAAGACAGAAGGCAAAGGCAUCCAGAAGCACUGGCACCCUGGGUCAGUGAGGACUCCACAGCUCCGCUCCCAUCCCUGACCCCACGUACAGAGAAUGGAGGGACUCACACAGUGUUUGUGGGAUUACCCAGCUGGCCAGAGCUCCAGGGCUCUACCUCUUUGGGACUGCUGAGCUCUGCCCCUUUCUGGCCUUCCCUCGAUGCACUUCCCACCCUGAGGGCCUGGGGUGGGGCCAGGAGGAGGCCAUUUUCUCCGCCACUGCAUGGUCCAUCUCAUGCUUUCUCCCUCUCCCAUCCCUAGUUGAUCUCUAUUUUUCACGAUCACAGAGUUUUAUUUGGAAAAUCUUGUCCUCACUGAAAAUAGGAUGGCAGUUAAGAGCUUAAUAUGCUGUAUUUCUGGGGGUAAAUGUGUUUUCUUUGUCGUUGGUGAAUACAGUCUUGUGCCUUUCACUGCCAGGUGGGAAGUUUGCCCCCCAGUUCUGCGUCUACAACCCUUGACCUUUAUAAGAGCUUUACCAAGUGCAGCUCCCUUGCCCGUGCAGAAGGCACCUGCUCCACCCAUUCGAAGCCCUUCUAUCUUAUCCUAGAGGGGAAAACAUACAUGGAUUGUUCACACUGGAGGCGGAUGUGAUAUCCAACACAAAGCAUCACAUUUUACAGAUGAGGAAAUUGAGGCAAGAAAAGAAAACCCUGCUGAGGUCACACAUUAUUUAAGGGAUGAGCUGAGACUAACACCCAGGUCUGCUGACUUCAGGUAUUCUCAGCAGUAGCCUGGGCUUCCUGCUGAAGAACAUACAGACAGCCCCAAAAUGCACCACAAGCCUGCGUUUCCCAGCACCUGUAUUUAACAUACAGGCAGCCCCAGAAUGCACCACAUGCCUGCGUUUCCCAGCACCUGUAUUUAGCUAAUGGGAGGCGGUGAAUGGAAGGCAGGGAAGGCUGAUGGAUGCUGUCCACCCAGAUCAAGAAAGUCAGCAAUCAUUUCCAACUGAACAUCUGGCUGUCAUGUGUUCUUGUCCACUUUUAGGGUCUCAGGGCUGGUACCCAAACUAAAGUGUGCCCGGCAAAGCAUCCCCCUUUGAUAAACACACAAAAGAAAUUCUCCCCUAUGUUUCCACGGUGAUGGUGGUGCAAAGGGUGACCAACCAUCCUGGUUGACCCAGGCCUGCGAGGAUUCCCUGAUUGAAGGACUUUCAGUGCUGAACUGGGAAAGUCCCAGACACACCAAGAUCAGUUGCUUACCCCAAGAGUAGGAGAUUGUCAUGGGUCCAGGUUAGGGGUGGGGAGUAGGGGCAUGAACAUCCAGUAAUUGGAGAGAAGAACUGAUUUGUUGGGCUCAGAUUAAUGCCUUAUGCUACAGAGGAUUGGUGCUUCCCUAUUCCUACCUCAGUCUUGGACCAGUCACUACCCCAGGGGCACUUCUCAUCAAGCCCCCUCACCUCCUUGCACUGUUCCCACCAUGCCUUUCCUCCUACCUCCUACCUCCUACUUCCAGUGCUCAGGUAGAAAAUCCACCCAGGCCCCACAGAAGAAUGACUUCUCAGGCUUCGCUACUAUGAAAAACCUAUACAACCCUUUCCAAAGCAACAUGAGGACCUUGCUGUGUGCAAAGUUUCAGUGUGUUGCCUUGUAACAGGCUCAAGGCAUUAAUGCUAAAGAGUGAGUCCCUAAUUGCAGAAUUGCGGAGCCUAUGCCUGGUCAAUUGAAAAAAUACUUUUUGGACUGAUGUCAUGGCGCUUUAGGGGAAGAAGUUAGUGUUCCACGGGGCCCUGGUACUGAAGAUGUGAUCCAGGUCACCCCUAACUCUUUCCCACUCACCCAACCCUCUUGCGCCCACCUUUUCCCUCUCUCCUCUAGCAGAAUGAAGCAUGCAGGCCUGGGUGAAGGAGUACCUCCUGGCAACUCUGGGAACGAUGGCUAUGCUAAUAGUGGGUAUAGUGCCUGUGAAGAAAAAAACAAGAGACUCACUGAAAGUCUGAGAAGAAAAGUAACUGUUAUAAAAUAUUUUUCCAUUGAAAUAGGCCAUGAAGUUAAAACCCAAAAUAAAUUAUUAGCUGAAAUGGAUUCACAAUUUGAUUCUACAACUGGAUUUCUAGGUAAAACUAUGGGCAAAGUGGAGAUUUUAUCCAUAGGGAGCCAAAACAAAAAAGCUGCUGGGCUCUACAAUGCUGUUUUAUUUAUUUGUCUUUUUUUGUCAUUUAUUGGAUUAGUAAACUGAGGUGAUGCAAGUAAUUGUGAAUUUGGAAUUUGUUCCAAUUUAAUGACUUGGUGUACCACCUUGAUAAAAAUCAGCACCAAACAUUCCUAGUUUUCAAACACUAUGGCAUUUUUCAUUGAAAAUUGCUGCACGUUUCUUGUUUUAUAAAUCACGUUAGAUACUACAGUGCUCUUUGAAUAUUGUCUGCUUUUUCUUUUUCUUUUUUUUAUUUUAAGUUCUGGAUUACAUGUGCAGGAUGUGCAGGUUUGUUACAUGGGCAAAUGUGUGCCAUUGUGGUUUGCUGCACCUAUCACCAUGCCACCUAAUAGCCUGGCAUGCAUUAGCUAUUUUUCCUGAUGUUCUCCCUCCUCCCACCCCACCCUCCCCGACAGACCCCAGUGUGUGUUA